UUAAAUUGAAGAGUUUGAUCAUGGCUCAGAUUGAACGCUGGCGGCAGGCCUAACACAUGCAAGUCGAACGGUAACAGGAAGCAGCUUGCUGCUUUGCUGACGAGUGGCGGACGGGUGAGUAAUGUCUGGGAAACUGCCUGAUGGAGGGGGAUAACUACUGGAAACGGUGGCUAAUACCGCAUAACGUCGCAAGACCAAAGAGGGGGACCUUCGGGCCUCUUGCCAUCAGAUGUGCCCAGAUGGGAUUAGCUUGUUGGUGAGGUAACGGCUCACCAAGGCGACGAUCCCUAGCUGGUCUGAGAGGAUGACCAGCCACACUGGAACUGAGACACGGUCCAGACUCCUACGGGAGGCAGCAGUGGGGAAUAUUGCACAAUGGGCGCAAGCCUGAUGCAGCCAUGCCGCGUGUAUGAAGAAGGCCUUCGGGUUGUAAAGUACUUUCAGCGGGGAGGAAGGUGUUGCGGUUAAUAACCGCAGCAAUUGACGUUACCCGCAGAAGAAGCACCGGCUAACUCCGUGCCAGCAGCCGCGGUAAUACGGAGGGUGCAAGCGUUAAUCGGAAUUACUGGGCGUAAAGCGCACGCAGGCGGUCUGUCAAGUCGGAUGUGAAAUCCCCGGGCUCAACCUGGGAACUGCAUUCGAAACUGGCAGGCUUGAGUCUUGUAGAGGGGGGUAGAAUUCCAGGUGUAGCGGUGAAAUGCGUAGAGAUCUGGAGGAAUACCGGUGGCGAAGGCGGCCCCCUGGACAAAGACUGACGCUCAGGUGCGAAAGCGUGGGGAGCAAACAGGAUUAGAUACCCUGGUAGUCCACGCCGUAAACGAUGUCUACUUGGAGGUUGUGCCCUUGAGGCGUGGCUUCCGGAGCUAACGCGUUAAGUAGACCGCCUGGGGAGUACGGCCGCAAGGUUAAAACUCAAAUGAAUUGACGGGGGCCCGCACAAGCGGUGGAGCAUGUGGUUUAAUUCGAUGCAACGCGAAGAACCUUACCUGGUCUUGACAUCCACAGAACUUUCCAGAGAUGGAUUGGUGCCUUCGGGAACUGUGAGACAGGUGCUGCAUGGCUGUCGUCAGCUCGUGUUGUGAAAUGUUGGGUUAAGUCCCGCAACGAGCGCAACCCUUAUCCUUUGUUGCCAGCGGUUAGGCCGGGAACUCAAAGGAGACUGCCAGUGAUAAACUGGAGGAAGGUGGGGAUGACGUCAAGUCAUCAUGGCCCUUACGACCAGGGCUACACACGUGCUACAAUGGCGCAUACAAAGAGAAGCGACCUCGCGAGAGCAAGCGGACCUCAUAAAGUGCGUCGUAGUCCGGAUUGGAGUCUGCAACUCGACUCCAUGAAGUCGGAAUCGCUAGUAAUCGUGGAUCAGAAUGCCACGGUGAAUACGUUCCCGGGCCUUGUACACACCGCCCGUCACACCAUGGGAGUGGGUUGCAAAAGAAGUAGGUAGCUUAACCUUCGGGAGGGCGCUUACCACUUUGUGAUUCAUGACUGGGGUGAAGUCGUAACAAGGUAACCGUAGGGGAACCUGCGGUUGGAUCACCUCCUUACCUUAAAGAAGC
rnacentral:rRNA from 2 species